UACGUAGGGGGCAAGCGUUGUCCGGAUUUAUUGGGCGUAAAGAGCGUGUAGGCGGCUUGGUAGGUCCGCUGUGAAAACUCGAGGCUCAACCUCGAGAUGUCGGCGGAAACCACUUGGCUAGAGUCCGGAAGAGGAGAGUGGAAUUCCCGGUGUAGCGGUGAAAUGCGCGGAUAUCAGGAAGAACACCAAUGGCGAAGGCAGCUCUCUGGGACGGUACUGACGCUGAGACGCGAAAGCGUGGGGAGCGAACAGG
rnacentral:rRNA from 1 species